rnacentral:tmRNA from 1 species
GGGGGUGUCUAGCUUCGACGGAGCAGUUGAGCUUCGGGAUUGCGAGCCGAGGGCGCGAGCGUCACAGCGCAGCGUUUACAAACGCCAAAAACACACGCACUUUCGCCCUCGCUGCGUAAGCAGUAGAGACGUAAGUCCCGGGACUUAGAUCCCGGGUGCUGCCCCCGGUCAGUCCGGCGGACUGGGGAGCGGUAUCACAUAGACCGGAUUGCUGCUCCAGGGGCGCCGCGGCCCUGAGGUAGGACCUCUCCCGUGGCUGGCCGAAGCGGAUCCUGUCAGGAGGAGCCGCCAAGCGAGAACCAAAAUCCUGGACACGCUCGUAGAGAUCUCGGGGGAUGCUGCUUCGGACACGAGUGCAAUUCUCGUCACCUCCACCA